rnacentral:lncRNA from 1 species
AGCUUUUCGAGUCGUCUGCCCCCAUAGUCUCGAUCCUGUCGAGAUCAUGUUGAUCACAUCUAUCAUAGGUUAAGUGUGAGUUUCUUCCUCGGGAUGCGGCUGUGAUGGUGGAUCAUAGGCAACUGCACAGAUCGAUCCUGUAGGUAAUUUUUGAGAUAUCCUUGCCUAAUUUGAGCUUUGAUCUCAUUCGUCAACUAGAUGUACUAUUCAGUAUCGUGAUCGUGGUCAUGAUGGAACCGACAGUAGUGCUUUCUAUUGCGAGAUGACGGCUGCGACUUCAUCGACUG